rnacentral:snoRNA from 1 species
CUGCAUUCUUAAACCCUCUUGGAGGCUGCUCCGGUGCCUCCAGGAUAUGAGUGAAUGCUAGAGCAAGCGCGGGGGAGUCCAAAGGGCUGCGCUCCUCACGUGGCUCCGUCCUAUUUCAUGCCCCCGACAUCU